UCACUUUGAGGGUGACAUUUGCAAAGAAA
rnacentral:piRNA from 1 species